rnacentral:lncRNA from 1 species
GGUAACUUGAAUUACCAAGACAGAUUUAAGUUGGUUUUUGGCCAACUUUAGAAAUUCGGCAAAAUUCACUUGUUUUGAACUAACCUUUGAAAUUUGGAAAUCAAUUAGUGUUGCAAUCCAAGAGUAUAACAAAACAAGCGGAACGAGAAAUGGAGUUUCGAGCACCAAGAUAUAGUACCUCCAAGUUGCUGAAAAAGUUAAGACUGUUGGGCUAUUUUCCAGGUUUAAAACUAGAUUCGAAAUAUCAUUUGGUCAUCAAGUUGGCAUUAGAAAUACAUCAAACUUGGUACACUAAAUCUUCCAUGUGUGAAAAACAUUUCUACUAAGUUUCGUACAAAAACUCUCACGGUAAGGUAGUCAUUAAAACAACCAAAGUUUAUGAAGAGUUUCAAGGCUAAACUACCUUCUCACUUUUCUUUCGUUUACAAACUUUUUGUACCAUGAAAUCAGUUUCAAAUCUCUCCAUUAUUGAAACCAAGAGUUCAUAAACAUCCACUGAGCAAUUUAAAGACCAUUGACAUCCAAAUUCUAGAAAUAAAACUCUCCAAAUCAGAUUUGACCAUUUGGCUAAGAGAAAACGAAAAGUUUUCCAGAUUCGAUGAGC